GAUGAACGCUGGCGGCGGGCUUAACACAUGCAAGUCGAACGAUGAAGCCCAGCUUGCUGGGUGGAUUAGUGGCGAACGGGUGAGUAACACGUGAGUAACCUGCCCUUGACUCUGGGAUAAGCCUGGGAAACUGGGUCUAAUACUGGAUAUGACUUCUCAUCGCAUGGUGGGGGGUGGAAAGAUUUAUUGGUCGUGGAUUGACUCGCGGCCUAUCAGCUUGUUGGUGCGGUAAUGGCUCACCAAGGCGAAGACGGGUAGCCGGCCUGAGAGGGUGACCGGCCACACUGGGACUGAGACACGGCCCAGACUCCUACGGGAGGCAGCGGUGGGGAAUAUUGCCCAAUGGGCGCAAGCCUGAUGCAGCGACGCCGCGUGAGGGAUGACGGCCUUCGGGUUGUAAACCUCUUUCAGUAGGGAAGAAGCGAGAGUGACGGUACCUGCAGAAGAAGCGCCGGCUAACUACGUG
rnacentral:rRNA from 1 species